rnacentral:rRNA from 1 species
UGGGGAGCAAACAGGAUUAGAUACCCUGGUAGUCCACGCCGUAAACGAUGUCAACUAGUUGUUCGUGUCACUAAGACGUGAGUAACGCAGCUAACGCACUAAGUUGACCGCCUGGGGAGUACGGCCGCAAGGUUAAAACUCAAAUGAAUUGACGGGGGCCCGCACAAGCGGUGGAGCAUGUGGUUUAAUUCGAUGCAACGCGAAGAACCUUACCAUCCCUUGACAUCCAGUGAACUUUCUAGAGAUAGAUUGGUGCCUUCGGGAACACUGAGACAGGUGCUGCAUGGCUGUCGUCAGCUCGUGUUGUGAGAUGUUGGGUUAAGUCCCGCAACGAGCGCAACCCUUAUCCUUAGUUGCCAGCGAUUCGGUCGGGAACUCUGGGGAGACUGCCGGUGAUAAACCGGAGGAAGGUGGGGACGACGUCAAGUCAUCAUGGCCCUUACGGGAUGGGCUACACACGUGCUACAAUGGCGCGUACAAAGGGCAGCGAACCUGCGAGGGUAAGCGAAUCUCAUAAAGCGCGUCGUAGUCCGGAUUGGAGUCUGCAACUCGACUCCAUGAAGUCGGAAUCGCUAGUAAUCGUGGAUCAGAAUGCCACGGUGAAUACGUUCCCGGGCCUUGUACACACCGCCCGUCACACCAUGGGAGUG